rnacentral:tRNA from 1 species
GCCUGGGUGGCUCAGUCGGUUGAGCGUCCGACUUCAGCUCGGGUCCUGAUCUCAAGGUUCGUGGGUUCGAGCCCCGCGUCGGGCU